rnacentral:rRNA from 1 species
CACGUAGGGGCCGAGCGUUGUCCGGAGUUACUGGGCGUAAAGCGCGCGCAGGCGGCCGCGUGGGCCCGGCGUGAAAGCCCCCGGCUCAACCGGGGAGGGUCGCCGGGGACCGCGCGGCUUGAGGGCGGUAGGGGCCGGUGGAAUCCCCGGUGUAGUGGUGAAAUGCGUAGAGAUCGGGGGGAACACCCGUGGCGAAGGCGGCCGGCUGGGCCGACCCUGACGCUGAGGCGCGAAGGCGUGGGGAGCGAACGGGAUUAGAAACCCCCGUAGUCC